ACAGGUUCAUACAGUAUUUUUUGCAUUCUGGCAAAGAGCGAGUAAGAAUGCAUUUGAACCUGCAACGCAACGGACACACGGCCAUUCCAUGUCGGAGGAUCGCUCUGGUUACAUCGAGGAAAACCACAACAAUCCGAUGCAGAUGCAGGGCACUAUCCCUGAUCACACUGCUGAUCAAGAAGAUCUCACUGCAUGUAUCCCUCAGAACCAGGUGGAAAUUUGAAUGGUGUCUUAUAAUCUAUCAAUAAGUCUUGUGUUGUUCAAGACUAAACCGACAAAUGAAAGGAUGAAGGAAGUUCUUCGUCAGCUUGAUGAUGAUGUCGAGCUGUCCUAUCAAGUCAUCCAUCUUCUUCUGUCUCACUUUUCCGAAGAUGUCUCAGGACUUGAUAUGCCAGUGCAGCUGACCUUGAGAGUUCACUAGCUUUACCUGCAACGCCUCGUCUGAUACUUCUUGGAGAAACAGGAAACCACUUCCAACGCUGGAUGCUCAGCAUUGAGGGCCAGAUUGUGGGCGAAGGGAUCCAGUCGACCUUUGUGACAGGGCUGGCGUCUUUUUUCUCCGGUUUUUAUAUCUUCAACCUACAGUACCAAGAGGAGGCAGCGUGCACACUUGAAUUCAUCCAGAGGUAAGACAUUGUCUGUUAACACCUGCAUUUGUUCUGGCCUAGCUGUGGCUCAAGCAUGGUUUCAGCAGGUCUGGUGAUGGGAUUUAGCAAUUAACUUUGCUUUAGAAAGUUUUAGUGCAACUUACAAUAUUCAUAGAUGCAUAGGAUAGUAUGUUGAGGAUAGUUCAUGGACAUUUGUUGUCUUGUUGUAGUGUUAGUCUGUGUGAAUUACUAGAUUUCCAACCCGUGUAUAAUUUUUCAGACGCUUUGUGGGUAUAAACCCAGAAAAGGGGACAAAGGCUGCAAAGGGGAAAAAAAGAACGGUAAAUUCACACAUCGCCAGCCUCUUGCGCAGACUGAUGGACUUCCAGUGGGAUUUCAUUUCAAAAAGGUGAGAUAGAUACAUACAUUCAUGCUCUUUGCCAUUGUUUCAAUAAAUUUUACUUUUCAGACUUUCUAUUAUUUAUGUCUCUCUCUUUCAGUGGAGGUGUGUUCAGGUGCAUUCUGGGCAAUGUAGUGUAUUUUUCUGUGAUUGAUCCGAUCUAUAUGUGCCUACAUUUGUAAGUAUUUAACUUUCAGUGUUUCUAUUACAAUAAAAAAGUUAAUUUGAACAUGGAACUAUUCGUUUUCUUUCACUUAAGUGUUAUGUGAUGUAUUAUGCCUAUUCUUAUAAUAACUCAAGCUAGAAAUAUGUAUAUUACA